AGUGACUGUCACACCAGUGACCCACUCACAAACCUACUGAACAGGUCACCUCACCACCUGGAAGACCAGGGAGUGAGAUCACCCAGUAGACAUGAUGAACAUCAAGGCCUUCACCUUGGUCUCUGCCGUGGAGCGGGAGCUGCUGAUGGGUGACAAAGAGCACAUCAGCAUUGAAUGUGUGGAGUGCUGUGGCAGGAAUCUCUAUGUUGGCACCAAUGACUGCUUUAUUUACCACUUUCUGCUGGAGGAGAAGCCCAUGCCUGCAGGGACAGCUACCUUCAUUGCCACCAAACAGCUGCACAGACACCUGGGCUUCAAGAAACCCGUGAACGAGCUGUGUGCGGCCUCAGCUCUCAAUAGGCUAUUGGUGCUCUGUGACAACUCCAUAACCCUGGUUAAUAUGCUGAACCUGGAGCCCGUCCCCUCAGGAGCACGCAUCAAAGGGGCUACAGCAUUUGUAGUGAAUGAGAACCCUGUGAACGGGGACCCUUUCUGCGUGGAAGUGUGCAUCAUCUCCGUGAAACGCAGGACUGUCCAGAUGUUUCUGGUGUAUGAGGACCGAGUACAGAUUGUCAAGGAGGUGUCCACCCCAGAGCAGCCUCUUGCUGUGGCUGUGGAUGGCUACUUCUUGUGCCUGGCCCUGACCACACAGUACAUCAUCCUGAACUACAGCACAGGCCUUUCCCAAGACCUGUUUCCCUACUGCAGUGAGGAGAAGCCACCCAUUGUCAAGAGGAUAGGCAGACAGGAGUUCCUGCUGGCUGGCCCCGGAGGCUUGGGCAUGUUUGCCACUGUGGCCGGGAUUUCCCAGCGUGCCCCUGUGCACUGGUCAGAGAAUGUGAUUGGAGCAGCUGUUUGCUUCCCAUACGUCAUUGCGCUCGAUGAUGAAUUCAUCACAGUUCACAGCAUGCUGGAUCAGCAGCAGAAACAGACCCUGCCCUUUAAGGAAGGUCACAUCCUGCAGGACUUUGAAGGAAGAGUGAUUGUUGCCACUAGUAAAGGAGUUUACAUCUUGGUUCCAUUACCUCUGGAAAAACAAAUACAGGAUCUGUUAGCAAACCGGAGAGUGGAGGAGGCUUUGGUCUUGGCAAAAGGAGCCCGGAGGAACAUUCCAAAAGAGAAAUUUCAGGUAAUGUACAGGAGGAUUCUGCAACAGGCAGGCUUUAUACAGUUUGCACAACUCCAGUUCUUGGAAGCCAAAGAGCUCUUCAGAAGCAGCCAGCUGGAUGUCCGGGAGCUGAUCUCUCUCUACCCCUUCCUGUUGCCCACCUCCUCCUCCUUCACCCGGUCUCACCCUCCUCUUCAUGAGUAUGCAGACCUGAACCAACUGACCCAAGGUGACCAGGAGAAGAUGGCCAAGUGCAAGCGCUUCCUCAUGAGCUACCUGAACGAAGUCCGCAGCACAGAGGUAGCAAAUGGCUACAAGGAAGACAUUGAUACGGCCUUGCUCAAGCUGUAUGCAGAAGCCGACCAUGAUAGCCUCCUGGACCUCUUGGUCACCGAGAACUUCUGCUUGCUGACCGACAGUGCUGCCUGGCUGGAAAAGCACAAAAAGUAUUUCGCACUAGGACUGCUUUACCAUUACAAUAAACAAGACGCCUCUGCAGUUCAGUUGUGGGUGAACAUUGUGAAUGGGGAUAUCCAGGAUUCUACGCGCUCAGACCUGUACGAAUACAUCGUUGAUUUUCUUACCUACUGCGUAGACCAGGAGCUGGUGUGGACCCAUGCAGAUUGGCUUUUGCAGAAAAGUGAGGAGAUUGGAGUUCAAGUUUUCACCAAGAGACCUUUGGAUGAGCAGCAACAGACCAGUUUUAAUCCAGAUGACAUUAUUAGUUGCCUUAAAAAAUAUCCUAAAGCCCUGGUUAAGUACCUGGAACAUCUUGUUAUGGACAGGAGAUUGCAGAGAGAAGAGUACCACACCCACCUGGCCAUCCUUUACCUGGAAGAAGUGCUGCGGCAGAGGGAACUCACUGGAGGCAAGGACGUAGAAGCCACUGAGACGCAGGCCAAGCUCCGGAGGCUGCUCCAGAAGUCUGACUUGUACCGCGUCAACUUGUUGAAAGAGAAGAUCCAGGGUGCUGGCCUGCCCAUGGAAAGCGCCAUCCUCCACGGAAAGCUGGGUGAGCACGAGAAGGCCCUGCACAUCCUGGUGCAUGAGAUGGGGGACUUCUCUGCAGCUGAGGACUACUGCCUGUGGGGCUCCGAGGGCCAGAAUGCCGCCUACCGUCAGCGCCUUUUCCACACACUGCUUGCCAUGUACCUCUGUGCAGGCCCCACUGCCCAUGAGCUGACAGUGGCUGCUGUGGACUUGCUGAACCAUCACGCCAGGGAAUUUGAUGCGACCCAGGUCCUACAGCUCCUGCCUGACACCUGGUCGGUGCAGCUUCUCUGCCCCUUUCUCACAGGGGCUAUGAGGGACAGCAUCCAUGCCAGGAGGACCACACAGGUGGCUCUGGGCCUGGCCAAAUCAGAAAACCUGAUUUAUAUGUACGAUAAGAUGAAGCUGAAGGGAAGCGCAGUCCGGCUCUCAGAGAAGAAGCUUUGCCAGCUCUGCCAGAACCCUUUUGGUGAACCUGUGUUUGUCAGAUACCCAAACGGAGGUCUAGUGCACACCCACUGUGCUGCCAGCAGACACACAAGCCCCAGCUCACCCAGCCCUGGCACUCGGACUUGAAAAGCAGGGUUCCAGGCCGCAAAGGGGAUUCUGAGACCUUUUCCAAAUCUGCUUUGUGCCAGCCAGAACAAAAGGAAGGCAUCUGGGUGCCAGGGAAAUGUCAUCCCUGGGAAACAAGGCACCUCACUGCUGAUUGUUCUUUGUGUGAAUGUAAAUGGAAAAGGCCUGAAACCCCGACGAUAGUGGCAGGCCAGAGUCUACCUGCCCAGAAGGUUACAGUCAUCCAAAGCAAAGCACAAGCCAACUUUGAAAAGCAGGCAGUAUAGCCUGGGUGAGCCAGACACAGGGAGUGCUUGGCAAAUGGACAGUGGAUGGCAGAGGCAGCAGCAAGGAGGGUGAAGGCAGAGCAGCAGCUAUGGGGAAGUAACCUUUCUCCUAAGUGGGUUGUGGGGGUCUGCAGGUGUUUGUUUACACAGGGGGCCAGACUCGGGGUUCUUUAGUUACCUCUCUCAUUGCUCUGAUCAAACCCCUGACAAGAAGCAGCUUAAGAGACCAGGGUGUUGUUUGAGCUCCUGGUUUGAGAGUGUAGUCCAUCAUGGCAGGAAGGCUGGGGACAGCGUAGAGACGGGAGUGGCUCUCUGCUGGGGCAGACAAGUCUGCUUGGCGGCAUCUGGGUAGAUCAGGACAGGAGAUGCGCACACUCAAAGAGUCUUGGGCCCCGCCCACAGAAACGGGCCAUCCACAUUCAGAGAGAGUCCUCAUGUCUUAGGUUUAUCCUGUCUCAAAACACUUUCACAGACACACCAAAGCAUGUCUCCCAGGUGAUUCUGAAUCUGGUUCUGUUGACAAAAAAGAUGAACCAUGACAUCUGUCAUCAGAUUUGAUCUGUUAAAAAGACCCCCUUUAUGUUCCUUUGAGCCUGAUGAGGUUUGAUGAAGCUAUGUAGUGGUCCUCGCUUGUUCCCUGGUUUAGAUACUUGUGAGCCACCAUAUGGUUGCUGGGAAUUGAACCCAGAACCUCUGGAAGAGCAGAUAGUGCUCUUAAAUGCUGAGCCGUCUCUCCAGCCCCACACUGCCUUUUAUUGUAUAAAAUCCAGAGACAGACACCAGCAAGGUUCCACAACCUCUCCUUUCCUUAAAUGUUUAAAGUACCAUGGUGUUCUGGUUAGUCGCCAUGCGUUCUGUCAGUAGCACCCAGUCUCUACCACACAGCAGCGGGAGCACUGAACUAACUCUUUUCUUCAGCAUGGCCAGAUUCAUAGAGUUCUGUCAAUCAGGUUUGCAGUAAGUUUUUUUUUUUUCAAUAUGUUUAAUAAAGUUUAUCCCUAUGUAGCUUUAAAUUUUCACUUUAAAUUUUAUGUGUCUCAUUGAUUGACUGGGAAGCUUAAUAUGACAUCGUGUUCCUCACUGAGGCAUAAAUACAUGCAGUCUAUAUCACUACACAUAAGACUAUAUCUUUUGAGGGGUUAGGGCAAAAAGAGAACUCACCUUCUUCAACUGAUGUACUAGAGAUAUGUUUAUUUUUCAAGAGCAAAGGCUUGUUUAUGAAGUUUGUACUUAUGACUUUAAAAGUCCCAUGCAUUCUAGGAUCUCUUGUUUAUUUUUAGAUUGUGUGGCUCAUUGGCAGAUGCUGUGGGGAGUCCACUAAAUCUCCCCUUUUAUUCCGGGGGGCAGCAAAUUACAGCGAGGUAGAUAGCCCCACUCCAGGUCCCAGCUUUCUUUGGGACUGCCCACAAUUGUGUGGCCAUGGAGAACAGGCUGUGUGGAGAACUGAUUUAUCACAUUUCUCCAUACUUGUCCCACUCUCAUAUCCUGGAGCACAGAGUGGCUGCAGCCCUGACUAGCCCACACUACAAAGACCAUAAACAUGAAGAGGAUAACGGGAAGCUAGGUGAAAGGAGUAGCCUGAAUGACAACCAGUGUGCCUAGCCCUUUAAUAGUUAAUGUCUGUUUCCAAAGGGCAUUUUAGUGCUGCUGACUUUGCUAGCCCUACCCUUCACCUUCUCACUCCUGCUUCUCUUUCCCCAGGUGUGCUGUGGAUGUCAGAACAGCCCCCAGAGAGCAAGUGUGUACAUGCACGUGCUUUUGUCCAGGUGUGCAGAUGAUGUUGCACUCGCUGCCAACGCCGCUCUUCCCAUCAGCCCUGCAGUCCGGCUUGCAGGGGCACAGCUGAGGCCAUGUGCCACUAAGUCCAGCAAGGCUCUGAAAUCUUAGGCCAUGUGAGGUUCCUGAAAAAGUUCUUUAAAAUACCACUGGAGGAGAAGUGUCCAUAGGCUUGCUCCUCACAGUCGUCUGGCAAUUCUCUUGGGCACCUUUGGACCCUGUGAACCCGACCCAUGUAAGCUGAGCUACCCCUAGCCUUGCUGGGCACAGGGAGAGGCAAAGGACUGGUGGCACCCGCCUUAAUACAGCACAGCCAGUUCCACGUCCUCUCUCUUUCCCUCUUGGCUGAUGGAAACGAGUCAGCCGUCUUCUCCACAGACCCUCUCCUGGGCUGAACUUAACAUAAACUGCAUUCUGUUCACAUGCUACCCUCCUUCCUUGCCUCCAUCACCACUACCACAGAGAGAGGCUGGGAGCUGGGAGCUGGCCUCUGAGAGAAGUAAGGAAUGAAGCGAAGUGGAGCUUCUGUGCUCUUGGGCUGAGUUCUCGCACUCCUGGGAUAAAUCAACUAGUUUUGGGUGCAGCCCAGCCUUUUCUUUUCUUUUUCUUUCUUUUUUGGCACCAUCACUUGCGCACCAUGCUUUAUCCAACAGGCAUUUAACAAACGCCCAUCUUAUGGGUGGACAAAUGAAUGCAUGGGACCUGGCUAUUCCAGGCAGAAAACAUCCAGUUGAGAAUCAAGGGGACUUAUCAUCUCUUGGCCUUUAGCUAAGAUCAAGUGUAGAAUCAAGGGGACUGAAGUCAUGUAGACCUGUUUCCUCCUUUAACAAAUGGGUAAACUGAGGCUGACAGAAGAUGAAACAAAAAGGAUUACUGACUGGUCCCUGAUAGAGUCAGACCUGAUAUCAGAGUUUCUUAGUUUUUUUUUCCUCUCUUCAGAUCUGACUUUGUAAAGAGAGCUCAAUGGACCCACUGCUGUGUCCCAGACCUGCAGAACCCACCUUCCUACACCAGAGGGUCUUUGUCAUAACGGGUGACCAUGAGAUAGCGGCCAAGCACAGAAUGCCACCAAAAUGUCUCCUCUGUGUAACUUCACUCCCAGGUUCAGGUUCUGGGCAAGAGGGUUUGCCAGCAGCAGUGGGCAUGAGUGAGGUAGGAGGAACAGAUGGGUGGAUGUAAGCCCGGCUUUGGGGAAGGGUGUCUGUUCUGUCCCUCGAGCGAUUCUGGUGCUACUGUGGAUUUGGUGCCUCCAGGCUCUGUUGUCCAGAGGAGAUGUGUAAACAAAGCCAAGCAGCUGGCUGUUCUGCCUCUGAGAGCAAGUCGCUACAGAUACUUGCCAGUGGACAAGUGGCAGUAGGUAUGUUCUUAGCACGCUGGAGAAGAGCCAAAGAGGAGACAGGAACAGAGUUCAGGGACUGUCAGGCUAUCCAGAGGUGUGAGUGGUGGGAACAGGCCUGAGUGUCCAGGUGGACUUCUCUUUUCAGCUAAGCCGUCACAAAGCACGCUUUGAGCUCUGGGCCACUGACCCAGCACCACCUGCCACACCGGGGACCUCCACAGCUUCCCAGUCCGAAAUCUUUCUAAAAGGAUAAUUUGGCAUGAUCAGAAACACACAGUUGAACAUCAUAAAGAUGUGUGUGCCAUACCCAGCCUUGCGGAUACAGCUCUGAAGAGUGCUGGCAUCAGAAUGAACAAGGGCACCACAGUCUACCACCAGGGGCUUCUCCUGAGCAUGUGCGGUGGGGGCUGGGACGAACGUGAUAUGCUCUUUUGGCAGCUCCUCCUCUUGCCCCACUCUCAGGCAGCUUCACUUUUGGCUUCCCCUCAUCCCUUCUCACUCCUGGCCGACUUCUGAAAGCCCCAAUUCCCAUUAGGGCUAUAGACGGUUUUUCUGAGACAAAUAAUAAUUCAUCUUAUGGAAAUCAGAAAAUUGAAAGCCACAGAUCACCUGGUAACAAAAAA